AGCAGAGCAGAGGAGAGAGAAGAAAGCAGUGGCUAGAUCCCUACCUUGGAAAUAAUAGAGAGAAGAACGUCACCCAAAAAGAAAAAAAGGAGGUGGAUCAUCAUUCUUUGGCUCUUGGUUUAAACACACGAGGCUGAGAAAGAGAAGCAGAGAUUUUGAUGGGGACAUCUUGGUGAGGAUAGAAUACCAAAUAUUUCAGGUAAAGUUUGGUUUUUCAUUAUGUACCAGUGUCAAUAAAUGUUCAUUAAAUUAAA